UUGGAGGGCAAGUCUGGUGCCAGCAGCCGCGGUAAUUCCAGCUCCAAUAGCGUAUAUUAAACGUUGUUGCAGUUAAAAACGCUCGUAGUUGAAUUUCGGGGUUAGUAGGUUGGUCAUGCCUCUGGUAUGUACUGGUCUCACUGAUUCCUCCUUCCUUAUGAACCGUAAUGCCAUUAACUUUGGUGUUGCGGGGUAAUUUGGACUGUUACUUGAAAAAACUUAGAGUGUUUAAACGCAAGCUAACGCUUGAAUACAUUAGCAUGGAAUAAUGAAACUAGGUACG
rnacentral:rRNA from 1 species